GAUGAAGAACGUAGCGAAAUGCGAUAAGUAAUGUGAAUUGUAGAAUUCAGUGAAUCAUCGAAUCUUUGAACGCAUCUUGCGCUCCUUGGUAUUCUGAGGAGCAUGCCUGUUUGAGUGUCAUUAAAUUCUCAACCGCACUGACUUUGAAUUGGUGUGGCUUGGAUUUGGGGGGAAAAUUGUUGUGGGCUUUUUUGUAUAGUCUGCUCCCCUGAAAUUGAUUAGCGGUACCUUUGUGGAACUGUCUACAGGUGUGAUAAUUAUCUACAUCCUAGACAUCUGCUGGAAUGCUGCUUUCUAAACCUUACUUGUAUUGACAAUCUUGACCUCAAAUCAGGUAGGACUACCCGCUGAACUUAAGCAUAUCAAUAAGCGGAGGA
rnacentral:misc_RNA from 1 species